rnacentral:SRP_RNA from 1 species
CCGUGCUAGACGGGGAGGUAGCGGUGCCCUGUGACCCGCAAUCCGCUAUAGCGGGGUUGAAUUCCUGUUAGCGGUGCCUUCUCAUUUGGGGUCUGACCUCUGCACGCAGUGUUGACAAUCGGGUCUUGCGCAACGAACGGCCGUGAACCCCGUCAGGUCCGGGAGGAAGCAGCGGUAAGCGGUUUGGUUCGUGUGCCGCAAGGGCGCCUGAUUCGAGCUGGCGACAGAGGUAACGCCCGGAUGGGAGGUAUCAAUAACAGGUGCACGG